AUACGUAGGUGGCAAGCGUUGUCCGGAAUUAUUGGGCGUAAAGCGCGCGCAGGUGGUUCCUUAAGUCUGAUGUGAAAGCCCCCGGCUCAACCGGGGAGGGUCAUUGGAAACUGGGGAACUUGAGUGCAGAAGAGGAUAGUGGAAUUCCAAGUGUAGCGGUGAAAUGCGUAGAGAUUUGGAGGAACACCAGUGGCGAAGGCGACUGUCUGGUCUGUAACUGACCCUGAGGCGCGAAAGCGUGGGGAGCAAACAGGAUUAGAUACCCUGGUAGUCCACGCCGUAAACGAUGAGUGCUAAGUGUUGGGGGGUUUCCGCCCCUCAGUGCUGCAGCUAACGCAUUAAGCACUCCGCCUGGGGAGUACGGUCGCAAGACUGAAACUCAAAUGAAUUGGCGGGG
rnacentral:rRNA from 1 species